UGGACCGUGACAGCGACCCCGGCUCCAGCCUGGGUCCUGGCACGCCUGCCUUACAGCGUGCAACUACGCUUUGUGACCGAGGAGCAGCUCUUUCGGCCUAGGCAGUUCUUGUGCCCCAGCUGGAAAUCUCUGCGGCUGGAGGUGCACCUAGCAGGGGAGAAGGCGGACACAACGGUGACUGACGGUGAAGUACCAGGCAAGACCCCGUCAUGCCGAGUCCCACUCGGAAGUUGCGGCUCUUUUGCGUGCGAGAGCGCAGAACAUGAUGCAAGAUUUUGUGAGGACAGCCACUUACCACAGAGCCAUCCUCCAGAAUCACAUUGACUUUAGAAACAAGGUCGGGCUUUGAAGGCUGAUCUUGUUUUCUGGAGGUGCCAUAACAAAUUACCACAAGUUAGUACAUUAAGGAAAUGUGUUCUCUCGUCGUUCUGAAG
rnacentral:lncRNA from 13 species